rnacentral:rRNA from 1 species
UCGAGAAUUUUUCUCAAUGGGCGAAAGCCUGAAGGAGCGACGCCGCGUGGGGGAUGAAGGGCUUCGGCUCGUAAACCCCUGUCAUUUGCGAACAAACCCUGCGUUUGAACAAAGCGCAGGCUGAUAGUAGCGAAAGAGGAAGGGACGGCUAACUCUGUGCCAGCAGCCGCGGUAAUACAGAGGUCCCAAGCGUUGUUCGGAUUCACUGGGCGUAAAGGGUGCGUAGGUGGCCGGGUAAGUUUGAUGUGAAAUCUCUGGGCUUAACCCAGAAACUGCAUUGAAUACUAUCCGGCUGGAGGGUUGGAGGGGGGACUGGAAUUCUCGGUGUAGCAGUGAAAUGCGUAGAUAUCGAGAGGAACACCAGUGGCGAAGGCGAGUCCCUGGACAACUCCUGACACUGAGGCACGAAAGCUAGGGGAGCAAACAGG